CCUGAUAUGACCUGCCCAUGAACACAGGUUAGGAGGCCUGAUAUGACCUGCCCAUGAACACAGGUUAGGAGGCCUGAUAUGACCUGCCCAUGAACACAGGUUAGGAGGCCUGAUAUGACCUGCCCAUGAACACAGGUUAGGAGGCCUGAUAUGACCUGCCCAUGAACACAGGUUAGGAGGCCUGAUAGGUUAGGAGGCCUGCUAUGACCUGCCCAUGAACACAGGUUAGGAGGCCUGAUAGGUUAGGAGGCCUGAUAUGACCUGCCCAUGAACACAGGUUAGGAGGCCUGAUAUGACCUGCCCAUGAACACAGGUUAGGAGGCCUGAUAUGACCUGCCCAUGAACACAGGUUAGGAGGCCUGAUAGGUUAGGAGGCCUGAUAUGACCUGCCCAUGAACACAGGUUAGGAGGCCUGAUAUGACCUGUCCAUGAACACAGGUUAGGAGGCCUGAUAUGACCUGCCCAUGAACACAGGUUAGGAGGCCUGAUAUGACCUGCCCAUGAACACAGGUUAGGAGGCCUGAUAUGACCUGCCCAUGAACACAGGUUAGGAGGCCUGAUAUGACCUGCCCAUGAACACAGGUUAGGAGGCCUGAUAUGACCUGCCCAUGAACACAGGUUAGGAGGCCUGAUAGGUUAGGAGGCCUGCUAUGACCUGCCCAUGAACACAGGUUAGGAGGCCUGAUAGGUUAGGAGGCCUGAUAUGACCUGCCCAUGAACACAGGUUAGGAGGCCUGAUAUGACCUGCCCAUGAACACAGGUUAGGAGGCCUGAUAUGACCUGCCCAUGAACACAGGUUAGGAGGCCUGAUAGGUUAGGAGGCCUGCUAUGACCUGCCCAUGAACACAGGUUAGGAGGCCUGAUAGGUUAGGAGGCCUGAUAUGACCUGCCCAUGAACACAGGUUAGGAGGCCUGAUAUGACCUGCCCAUGAACACAGGUUAGGAGGCCUGAUAUGACCUGCCCAUGAACACAGGUUAGGAGGCCUGAUAUGACCUGCCCAUGAACACAGGUUAGGAGGCCUGAUAGGUUAGGAGGCCUGAUAUGACCUGCCCAUGAACACAGGUUAGGAGGCCUGAUAUGACCGCCCAUGAACACAGGUUAGGAGGCCUGAUAGAUUAGGAGGCCUGAUAGAUUAGGAGGCCUGAUAUGACCUGCCCAUGAACACAGGUUAGGAGGCCUGAUAUGACCUGCCCAUGAACACAGGUUAGGAGGCCUGCUAUGACCUGCCCAUGAACACAGGUUAGGAGGCCUGAUAUAUACUGCCCAUGAACACAGGUUAGGAGGCCUGAUAUAUACUGCCCAUGAACACAGGUUAGGAGGCCUGAUAUAUACUGCCCAUGAACACAGGUUAGGAGGCCUGAUAUAUACUGCCCAUGAACACAGGUUAGGAGGCCUGAUAUAUACUGCCCAUGAACACAGGUUAGGAGGCCUGAUAUGACCUGCCCAUGAACACAGGUUAGGAGGCCUGAUAUGACCUGCCCAUGAACACAGGUUAGGAGGCCUGAUAUGACCUGCCCAUGAACACAGGUUAGGAGGCCUGAUAUGACCUGCCCAUGAACACAGGUUAGGAGGCCUGAUAUGACCUGUCCAUGAACACAGGUUAGGAGGCCUGAUAGAUUAGGAGGCCUGAUAGGUUAGGAGGUCUGAUAGGUUAGGAGGUCUGAUAUGUACUGUCCAUGAACACAGGUUAGGAGGCCUGAUAUGACCUGCCCAUGAACACAGGUUAGGAGGCCUGAUGGAGAGACUGCUCACUAGCGGUCUGACAUGUCGAUCUGCUGUGGAGGUCCGUGGUACACAACAUGUCAAUACUAAAGUAUAGUGACAUUAAUGUUCUUCCCCUCUU